rnacentral:rRNA from 1 species
GACGAACGCUGGCGGCGUGCUUAACACAUGCAAGUCGAACGAAGAGCGAUGGAAGCUUGCUUCUAUCAAUCUUAGUGGCGAACGGGUGAGUAACGCGUAAUCAACCUGCCCUUCAGAGGGGGACAACAGUUGGAAACGACUGCUAAUACCGCAUACGAUCUAACCUUGGCAUCGAGGAUGGAUGAAAGGUGGCCUCUAUUUAUAAGCUAUCACUGAAGGAGGGGAUUGCGUCUGAUUAGCUAGUUGGAGGGGUAACGGCCCACCAAGGCGAUGAUCAGUAGCCGGUCUGAGAGGAUGAACGGCCACAUUGGGACUGAGACACGGCCCAGACUCCUACGGGAGGCAGCAGUGGGGAAUCUUCCGCAAUGGACGAAAGUCUGACGGAGCAACGCCGCGUGAGUGAUGACGGCCUUCGGGUUGUAAAGCUCUGUUAAUCGGGACGAAAGGCCUUCUUGCGAAUAGUUAGAAGG